GAAGGCUGACUCGCGAGGGGUCAUUAAAGAUUCCGGGCCCUUACCUGCCCAUUCUUUCCAGCUGUGCGCUUUGGCUGCACGCUGGAUGCAACACCUCACACCUGUGCACCAUUCCGGUUGCGGCUUCGGCCGCUGCCGCUUCAAAUGCAACUACUCAGUCUCGAAUGUCAACAAAACUAUAAAAAGUAACAACUUUCAACAACGGAUCUCUUGGCUCUCGCAUCGAUGAAGAACGCAGCGAAAUGCGAUAAGUAAUGUGAAUUGCAGAAUUCAGUGAAUCAUCGAAUCUUUGAACGCAUCUUGCGCUCCUUGGUAUUCCAUGGAGCAUGCCUGUUUGAGUGUCACGUAAACCCUCACCCUUGCGAUGUAACAGUUGCACUGCGGCGGACUUGGACUGUGCCGUAACCGGCUCGUCUUGAAAUGCAUUAGCUGGCGCUUUUAGAGUGCUGGGCGACGGUGUGAUAAUUAUCUGCGCCAAUGCCCUGGGCCUCUUCAGCGGUGCUGCUUACAGUCGUCCCUCUGUGGACAACUAAAAUCUAAAGCUUUGGCCUCAAAUCAGGUAGGACUACCCGCUGAACUUAAGCAUAUCAAUAAGCCGGAGGAA
rnacentral:rRNA from 1 species